GCCUUGGUGCCUUCGGGAACUGUGAGACAGGUGCUGCAUGGCUGUCGUCAGCUCGUGUUGUGAAAUGUUGGGUUAAGUCCCGCAACGAGCGCAACCCUUAUCCUUUGUUGCCAGCACGUAAUGGUGGGAACUCAAGGGAGACUGCCGGUGACAAACCGGAGGAAGGUGGGGAUGACGUCAAGUCAUCAUGGCCCUUACGAGUAGGGCUACACACGUGCUACAAUGGCAGAUACAAAGUGAAGCGAACUCGCGAGAGCAAGCGGACCACAUAAAGUCUGUCGUAGUCCGGAUUGGAGUCUGCAACUCGACUCCAUGAAGUCGGAAUCGCUAGUAAUCGUAGAUCAGAAUGCUACGGUGAAUACGUUCCCGGGCCUUGUACACACCGCCCGUCACACCAUGGGAGUGGGUUGCAAAAGAAGUAGGUAGCUUAACCUUCGGGAGGGCGCUUACCACUUUGUGAUUCAUGACUGGGGUGAAGUCGUAACAAGGUAACCGUAGGGGAACCUGCGGUUGGAUCACCUCCUUACCUAAAGA
rnacentral:rRNA from 1 species